rnacentral:rRNA from 1 species
CCUACGGGUGGCAGCAGUGAGGAAUAUUGGUCAAUGGCCGGAAGGCUGAACCAGCCAAGCCGCGUGAAGGACGAAGGUGCCAAGCAUUGUAAACUUCUUUUAUAUGGGAAUAAAAUGUUCCACGUGUGGGAUUUUGUAUGUACCAUAUGAAUAAGGAUCGGCUAACUCCGUGCCAGCAGCCGCGGUAAUACGGAGGAUCCGAGCGUUAUCCGGAUUUAUUGGGUUUAAAGGGAGCGUAGGUGGAUUGUUAAGGCAGUUGUGAAAGUUUGCGGCUCAAACGUAAAAUUGCAGUUGAAACUGGCAGUCUUGAGUACAGUAGAGGUGGGCGGAAUUCGUGGUGUAGCGGUGAAAUGCUUAGAUAUCACGAAGAACUCCGAUUGCGAAGGCAGUUCACUGGACUGCAACUGACACUGAGGCUCGAAAGUGUGGGUAUCAAACAGGAUUAGAUACCCCAGUAGUC